rnacentral:lncRNA from 1 species
UCGGGUUUUAGGGUUUGUUAUGUGUGGGUCGGAUCUUUCCGGUUGGAUCUUGUAAAUAUCUAAUUUAUGGUAGGGACAAUCCGUCUUUAGCCACUUUUUCUAUUUAAAAAAAAAUGAAAAAUAAAUUAUAUUAUAAUAAAGGGAUAAACGGGGAUUUUUUAGGGGGUAGAUGGUAUAUGGAGUUAUUCUCCCACUUAGCUAGAUGAACUCAGCCUUUUCUAAACGACUUAGCCACUUCCUUUGUUAUCAAACGUACGAGCCUUACAUCCUCUGCUUCUCUUCUUCUUCUUCUGCAUAUAAGCUAAAGGGACCCGAAGGCUAUCAGGUUUCACCGCCGACAUCGAUUGCUCUCCAGUGCUGUUUGAUAGAUCUUCAUGAGUGAGAAACUGAAAACACAUUAUUGAUCUCCGUCUCCGCUUUAAGAGGAAAAUUAUUCUACCAGUGAUGCUUCUCCAAAAUUCGUUUGCUUCCUUAUUUGAGAUACUACUAUUCACAACAAUUGAUGAAUCAGAUACGCAAAACAAAUAGAUUGGGCUAAGGCAAGAGCCAAUAGGGAAGGGUUGGUAUUCCACCAUGGUGCUCGUUUCCGAUCUGAAAGUCUACGCUGAUUUGGAUCAAAAAAAAGUUUGUAGAUCUGUAAUUCCAGCAACAAACUCUUGUAGAUCUGCGCGAUUCCAGCGACAAACUAUGGAAGGAGUUUUGUUUCACUCCAUCAGAAGAAGGUGAAGUUGUUAGAAGAGAUGAGUGGGUUAUCUUCUUAGCCGGUGAUUUCAGAAGAGAUGAGUGGAUUUUGUCUUUAUGGGAAAUUGUUGUUGUUGUCUCUAAAAUAGGUUUGUGGUGAUUACAAUUUUGGAACACUAUCCACAACCACAAUCACCAUCACCGACAAUGUCGCCGUCUGCUCCUGCUCUCCCAUAGUGUAUGCAAGUCAGGCCGUAUUCCUCUGUUCAGCGCUAUGAAGCAGCCCCAAUCAAAGCUCCAAGCCACCGACAAGCACCGUCCAAUCCGUAUCCUCUGCUGUCGUUCUCUGCGCUCACCGCCGCUUUGUGGACUAUGAGCUCAAGAAGUUUAUUACUGUAAGUUUGAAAUCUUUGGAAAGUUGUGUGCUUUGGAUAUUGUCCUGAUGAUCUUUGACGACAACGUGACAUAUGUAUGAAGUACUUGUCAAGUUUUUUGUUCAAAUUCAUUUUUGGUUUU